rnacentral:rRNA from 1 species
UACGAAGGGGGCUAGCGUUGCUCGGAAUCACUGGGCGUAAAGGGUGCGUAGGCGGGUCUUUAAGUCAGGGGUGAAAUCCUGGAGCUCAACUCCAGAACUGCCUUUGAUACUGAGGAUCUUGAGUUCGGGAGAGGUGAGUGGAACUGCGAGUGUAGAGGUGAAAUUCGUAGAUAUUCGCAAGAACACCAGUGGCGAAGGCGGGUCUCUGGGCCGAUACUGACGCUGAGGAGCGAAAGCGUGGGGAGCGAACAGG